UACGGAGGGGCCUAGCGUUGUUCGGAAUUACUGGGCGUAAAGCGCACGUAGGCGGAUUUGUAAGUCAGGGGUGAAAUCCCGAGGCUCAACCUCGGAACUGCCUUUGAUACUGCAAAUCUCGAGUCCGGAAGAGGUGAGUGGAAUUCCUAGUGUAGAGGUGAAAUUCGUAGAUAUUAGGAAGAACACCAGUGGCGAAGGCGGCUCACUGGUCCGGUACUGACGCUGAGGUGCGAAAGCGUGGGGAGCAAACAGG
rnacentral:rRNA from 1 species